CCCGGCGGCGCUCGCUGCAGCGGCGGUGCCCCUGCGGGGAGGGAGCCGUCCGUCCGCCGCGGCGCCUGGGGCCGUGUUACGGGCGGGGGCAACGCCGGGGCCCGCAGCUGCGCCCCCCGUUCAGAGCAGUGUUUGAUCGGCGCCGCGGGGGGAGAGGACGGCCUUCCCGCCCUGAAACGCCGGCGGGAAGCGGGCAUGGCCCCCCGCCUGGGAGAGGAGGCGUGCGAGCAACUGGCAGGAGCAGCGCGGAGGUCUCCAUCCCGSCGAGCUGAGCCGUCGAGAAGGCGCUUUCAUCCCAGGCAGGCUGCGAGGCGUCUGCGGGGCUCGUCGGAAUGAGCGAGUGACCGUCGGCGCCCGGCUCGGCGUUCCCGUCACCGGCCCCGCGGCCCGCGCUCGGCCGAGCCCAGCCGGAGGAGCAGGGAGGAGAAGCACAGCCUGAUCAGGUACCGAGCGCCACGAGCCGUCUGCUGCCGGGCGGACGUGGGGAACGCGCGUAGCUGUGAAAACAGAGCUCUGUUCCUUGAAAACCCUA
rnacentral:lncRNA from 1 species